rnacentral:rRNA from 1 species
UACGGAGGGGGCAAGCGUUGUUCGGAGUUACUGGGCGUAAAGCGCGCGUAGGCGGUGCGGUAAGUCAGGGGUUAAAGGCUGCAGCUCAACUGCAGUAAGGCCUUUGAUACUAUCGUGCUAGAGUACCAGAGAGGAUGGCGGAAUUCCCGGUGUAGCGGUGAAAUGCGUAGAUAUCGGGAGGAAGGUCGGUGGCGAAGGCGGCCUCCUGGGCCUGCACUGACGCUGAGGCGCGAAAGCGUGGGGAGCAAACAGG